rnacentral:rRNA from 1 species
GAUGAACGCUAGCUACAGGCUUAACACAUGCAAGUCGAGGGGAAACGAUAUUGGAAGCUUGCUUCCGAUAGGCGUCGACCGGCGCACGGGUGAGUAACGCGUAUCCAACCUGCCCACCACUUGGGGAUAACCUUGCGAAAGUAAGACUAAUACCCAAUGAUAUCUCAAGAAGACAUCUGAAUGAGAUUAAAGAUUUAUCGGUGAUGGAUGGGGAUGCGUCUGAUUAGCUUGUUGGCGGGGUAACGGCCCACCAAGGCGACGAUCAGUAGGGGUUCUGAGAGGAAGGUCCCCCACAUUGGAACUGAGACACGGUCCAAACUCCUACGGGAGGCAGCAGUGAGGAAUAUCGGUCAAUGGGCGAGAGCCUGAACCAGCCAAGUAGCGUGCAGGAUGACGGCCCUAUGGGUUGUAAACUGCUUUUAUAAGGGAAUAAAGUGAGCCUCGUGAGGCUUUUUGCAUGUACCUUAUGAAUAAGGACCGGCUAAUUCCGUGCCAGCAGCCGCCGCAG